UGCCCAUAAUGCAUCGCGUCAUGUCCAAGGUACAAACAGUUCCUAGUGAGAAGAAACACCUAAUGGGUGAGGAAUAAAUGUAAAGGUGUCUCGUCAGAGUUGGUUAACGUGCUUCGGGUGGAGGUUUCAUCAAAGAGGAGGUGGACGGUUCUUCUUUAAAGCUACAAAACUAGCUUAUUUUUUCUCAGAAGAAUGGCAGAGCCACAGGGAAAAGGAGAGCUGCUGCCCGAAGAUGUUGGCACAGAUGACUGCCUGACUUCGUACACACACAUCUACAGUCCAGAUUUACUCAAAGAUCAGGUUGCUUUUAUCACAGGUGGUGGAUCUGGGAUUGGACUCAGGAUAGCUGAAAUCUUCAUGAGGCAUGGCUGUGACACAGUGAUUGCGAGCAGGAACUUGGACAAGCUCAAAGAGGCAGCUAAAAAGCUGUCUGCAGCAUCAGGACGCCGCUGCCUCCCUUUGUGUAUAGACGUGAGGAAGCCCGAGAGCAUCGCAGCCGCCGUGGACGAGACGCUGAAAGAGUUGGGCCGCAUAGACAUCCUCAUUAACAAUGCUGCUGGAAACUUCCUCUGCCCGGCGGCCUCACUCUCCUUCAAUGCCUUCAAGACAGUAAUGGAGAUCGACACCAUGGGUACAUUCAACACCAGCAAGGUGGUUUAUGACAAGUGGUUAAAGGAUCAUGGUGGCAACAUAGUGAACAUCUCUGCAACACUUGGAUACAGGGGACAGGCCCUCCAGGUGCAUGCUGGUUCUGCUAAGGCUGCAAAUGAUGCCAUGACCAAGCACCUGGCUGUGGAGUGGGGCCCCAGUGGAGUAAGAGUCAAUUCUGUGGCUCCAGGUCCCGUCUCUGGCACGGAGGGCUUCCGCAGACUGGGUGGUACCAGUAAGGAGGCUGCUCAUGGGUUCCAGUCCAUCCCUUUGCAGCGGGCAGGCAACAAGACAGAGAUGGCCCAUUGCACUCUUUUCUUGGCCAGCCGGGCCUCCUCCUAUGUAACCGGAACCAUCCUGGUGGCGGACGGCGGAGCGUGGCUGACCUCGGCCAACGACGUCUCCGUGAUGUUGGGUAUAGCCUCGUUUAAAUCCGCUAAACUGUGAACGGGGGCUCUUCUGUCCUCCUCCUGACCCAGGUUAUUGGUCAUCUGAAAAGAAAAGAGACAAGUAAAUGCUGAAAACAAAAGAGUAAUUUAGCACAUCUGUAGUUCUAAUCAUGCUAUAUGUACAGUAUUUGAGGUUUAUCUCACCCACUGUUGCCUUAAAAGUGUAUUGCUAAGUGGCUGGAGGAGUUGAACACUAACAUACUAAUUACUGUAUUAUAUGUGUUUACAAUCUUAGUAAUGGAUCAAAUUAUAUAACAGUUCAGGGAUUUUUCACCCAUUACAGUGCUGUGUAUCGUCAUCAUGCAUUUCAUGUGUAGUCAUGCCAUUUAAUGUGAUUUUUAAGUACCUCUCAUUUAUUAAUAAAACAUUUAUAAUUCCAGGUAA